UACGAAGGGGGCUAGCGUUGCUCGGAAUCACUGGGCGUAAAGCGCACGUAGGCGGAUUGUUAAGUCAGGGGUGAAAUCCUGGAGCUCAACUCCAGAACUGCCUUUGAUACUGGCGAUCUCGAGUCCGGGAGAGGUGAGUGGAACUGCGAGUGUAGAGGUGAAAUUCGUAGAUAUUCGCAAGAACACCAGUGGCGAAGGGCGGACUCACUGGCCCGAUACUG
rnacentral:rRNA from 1 species